GGAAAACUCACCAGGUCCAGACAUAGUAAGGAUUGACAGAUUGAUAGAUCUUUCUUGAUUCUAUGGGUGGUGGUGCAUGGCCGUUCUUAGUUGGUGGAGUGAUUUGUCUGCUUAAUUGCGUUAACGAACGAGACCUUAACCUGCUAAAUAGAGAUUGUAUUUUUCGAAAUGCAACGCUACUUCUUAGAGGGACUGUGUGUUCGAAGCAUACGGAGGUUUGAGGCAAUAA
rnacentral:rRNA from 1 species